rnacentral:lncRNA from 1 species
GUCCAGAUGUUCUGACCUUAGUGGUAGGAUCAGACAUCAGUCGCUGCCCCAACACCCCCUGGCCUACCUGUCGUGGCUACCUACACAAAAGGACUCACUCGGGGUUCCUGAAGGGCUGGAGGAAGAGGUGGUUUGUACUGAAGCAUGAUGGUUAUCUCCUCUACUACAAGCGGAAAAAGGAUGGAGGGAGAAGGCCCAGCUGCCCAAGUACAGUCAGAGACACGAGUGGCUCGAGCCGCUGGCUCGCCACAGCUGCUCUCAGAGAGACCGUCCCAAAGCUGUCAUCAGAGCAGGGGAGGCACAGCUGAGCCUGCUGCAAAUGGAAGAGGUGCCGCCGCUCAAACCCACGCCAGAGCAGCAGCAGCACUAAGAUCCAGUCCCACCCCAACGGACCGCCCGCCAUCUUACAAAAGCCUCUUGUGUCCAGGAAGGGUCCCAGCACCAACCUUCACUCGGCUCCAUUUCUGCGCUGUGCCCACGACUCUGCACAGGCUCCCCGGGACUCGCUGUGUCCCAGCAGCCCAGCCUUUCCCGGACAGGCGACGUCCCUUCCCCAAUGGAUGUGCUGGUGUUCGCUUUAGUGCCAGAGGGACCCCCAAAGAGAUCUUGUGUUUGAGAGGCUGCCCGAGAGCCGGGCCAUCCCGACUCCUCCUUGGUAAGACGCAGACCAGAAAGACGUUCUGUUGAUUUAUUGGUGCCUUUUCAAGGGCCGCUCAUAGCCUCCUGGAUCGGGUUGUGCUAACACUCCUGCCCCUCCGCUGGGGUCAGAGUCACGAGCAUCCAGCCCAGGGUCCACGGAGGCACCCACUUCCUUGAUGGACGGGACUCCCUCCUGGAUCCCCAGGAAACUUCUGGAAGAGUAACGAGGACAUGCAAUGGGCGUGCCUCCAAGAGAAGUAGAGUGUGCAGAGAGCUUGUAGUCACUCCCAGGCCGCCAACUAGCUAGCAAGAGCUCUUGUCUUGUGCUUUGUCUGCAGUCUUCUCCCCGCGGAGCCCCUCUCUGGAAGGCUCAUCUCCCCCUUUUCUUCCAACGGUGAGUCUCUUCUGAAGCCUCCACUUCUGGAGGGGCAGCAAAGGUCAGUGCACCGCCCCCCGCCCCCCCCCCCCCCCCCCCGCCCCUCUUCCUCCAUUGAUAGACUUCAGAAGCACGUCCUCAGGCCAGACCCUCCCUCUGCAGACCCCACCUGCUUUUGAACUCCCUUUGGGGGAGGGCCAGCUCCCCGGGGAAGGGUCGCCUCUCACUUUGUGUGCCUGCGUGUCCCCAGCACUGAGCAAGUCCCUGACCCGGCAGCUUCCUGAAUGUGGGAUGGACCAGCUGCUGACGCGCACGCUCGAAUGGUGGAGAAGCAUCAGUUAUGGGGAAAGGCUGGCAGACCGCAGGCCCACGCAUGGAAGAAGCAGCGUGUGCACACGAGCCGUUCUCUCCAAAGAGCUGCCAGUUUAGUCUAGAGUAAAAAUGCCUUGUAAAGUCCCGGAGAGAAGGACUGCGGAGCGCCAGGAAGAGUAGCGGCAGCUCCUGAACAAAGAGAAAUAGCGUCCAAUUGAGCACCGAUUUCAUUCUGAUAGAGAGAUUGGUCCUCGUGGCAAAAUACCUGUAAAGCCCGACUUUCCGUGAAGGUUGGCCAUCUCUCUGCCCUUAGC